GGGCCUAUAGCUCAGCUGGUUAGAGUGCACBCCUGAUAAGGUGAGGUCACAAGUUCA
rnacentral:tRNA from 1 species